GAGUGGGCUUUGUCGAAGACCGAUUUUCGCCUGUUGCCAUGUGUUAACUGGUUCAAAUCAAAGCCCAAAGCAAUUUUUGAUACGACGGUCUCUGUCUCGGCAUUCCACAGUCGUUUCAGUAACUUUUACGUGCAAUUACAAAU